rnacentral:lncRNA from 1 species
CGCACAUUUAAAAACAUGUUGCUGAGAUUCCUCCAGAAAGGGCUGACAUUUCACAAUAUUCCUCUGAUGCCGGGAUUACUGCUCAACAUGAUGAAAACGUGGUUUAUUCAAAACAGAUUGGGGCGGAAGAAAACAAUGGCACGGCCCCCGGAGAGGCCCAGCAGGCUCCCGGGAGAGGGGGAGAGGCGAGGGAGGCAGCCACAAGAAGCCCCAGACCCCAGCGUGGCCUGUGUCCAAGGAGGCGGGGCCCACACUUGGGGAGGGAGCGGGUCACACGGACACGGGGUCCACGCUGGCCCCGUCUGGCUUCUGCGGUGUGGUGCUGGCUGUGGUUCGUGGGGGCAGUGCUAAGUGCCAGGCAGGAUCCACCAAGCGAAGGGCCCAGUAGCACCCUGUACCCCCACUCUGCCCAUUUUCCAGUAGGAGAAACUGAGUCCGUGCAGCGUGCCCACGUUCGCAGAGCUAGCCAGAAAGGGUCAUGGGCACAGCGACGUGGGACCUGCUGCGGGACUUGGACAGGAGAAUUUGCAGCUCUGGGCCUAUUUCCUCACCUGCAAGGGGGGGAUGAGAACCAGACCUGCUCUGCCUGCCUUGUUGGGUUGCUGUGGGUUCAGGAAGCAGCAAGUUCUGGGGGAAGAGGAGGAGGCAGAGAGAGGUGUCUCAGCUCCUCCUGCAUGGACACCGCCAUAGCUGGGAUGCCCAGGAGCUGGGCUCCUUCUGCUCUGCCUUGUGGAGGCCCUAGAGCAGGUGUCUCUGGGCCUCCUUCCCUUGCGCUGUGGCAUGGCUCAGCCACCCUGGAGGAGGCCCCAGAGCGUCCUGGAUGAAGCCAGGGCUUGGGGCAGGGCCAGCUCCUACCCCACCUGCCACUAGUGACCGUGGCCCCUCCCUGUGUCCGAGACACUGUCUGUCCCUGGGGGUCGUCGGUGGACAUGAGAAACAGAGGUCACCGUGGAGGAAAGGCCUCCAACUCAGAGUCCAAGCAGCGCCCAGAAGGUUCUGUCCAAGAGGUGUGUCCAGAACCAGGAGCCCCUUUCAGCUGCCUGCAGCCCAACGCAGGAGAGCCGUGCCAGGCUUGGUGUCCCACCAAGAGACCCACACAGGCUCUCUCGAGCCUCAGGCCCAGAGAGUGGGCAGCUCCCGGCCGCGUGGGGCAUUCAGGCUCUGUGGCCCAGAUGCC